ACGAACGCUGGCGGCGUGCCUAAUACAUGCAAGUUGAACGCAACAAAGACACCAGAGCUUGCUCUACCGUUUUUGUUGAGUAGCGAACGGGUGAGUAACGCGUGGGUAACCUGCCUUAUAGCGGGGGAUAACUAUUGGAAACGAUAGCUAAUACCGCAUAACAAUAGAGACUGCAUAAUCUUUAUUUGAAAGUGCCAACUGGUACACUAUGAGAUGGACCCGCGUUGUAUUAGCUAGUUGGUAGUGUAAUGGACUACCAAGGCGAUGAUACAUAGCCGACCUGAGAGGGUGAUCGGCCACAUUGGGACUGAGACACGGCCCAAACUCCUACGGGAGGCAGCAGUAGGGAAUCUUCGGCAAUGGACGAAAGUCUGACCGAGCAACGCCGCGUGAGUGAAGAAGGUUUUCGGAUCGUAAAACUCUGUUGUUAGAGAAGAAUGUUGAUUAGAGUGGAAAAUUAAUCAAGUGACGGUAUCUAACCAGAAAGGGACGGCUAACUACGUGCCAGCAGCCGCGGUAAUACGUAGGUCCCGAGCGUUGUCCGGAUUUAUUGGGCGUAAAGCGAGCGCAGGUGGUUUAAUAAGUCUGAUGUAAAAGGCAGUGGCUCAACCAUUGUGUGCAUUGGAAACUGUUAGACUUGAGUGCAGUAGAGGAGAGUGGAAUUCCAUGUGUAGCGGUGAAAUGCGUAGAUAUAUGGAGGAACACCGGUGGCGAAAGCGGCUCUCUGGACUGUCACUGACACUGAGGCUCGAAAGCGUGGGUAGCAAACAGGAUUAGAUACCCUGGUAGUCCACGCCGUAAACGAUGAGUGCUAGUUGUUUGGGGCUAUCCAGCCCUAAGUGACGCAGCAAACGCAUUAAGCACUCCGCCUGGGGAGUACGACCGCAA
rnacentral:rRNA from 1 species